GGGUAGGGUUAGGGGUAGGGUUAAGGGUUAAGGGUCGGGGUAGGGUUAGUGGUUGGGGUUGGGGUAGGGUUAGUGGUUGGAGUAGAGUUAGGGUAGGGGUUGGGCAACCCUUACCCUAUUUCUAACCCUAUCCCUAACCCUACCCUAACCCUAACCAUACUCCUAACCCUACCCUCCCCAUAACCCUAAACCUACCCUAACCCUACCAUAACCCAACUCCUAACCCUAACCCUGCUCCUAACCCAACCC